rnacentral:rRNA from 1 species
GGUUAAGCGACUAAGCGUACACGGUGGAUGCCCUGGCAGUCAGAGGCGAUGAAGGACGUGCUAAUCUGCGAUAAGCGUCGGUGAGGUGAUAUGAACCGUUAUAACCGGCGAUUUCCGAAUGGGGAAACCCAGUGUGUUUCGACACACUAUCAUUAACUGAAUCCAUAGGUUAAUGAGGCGAACCGGGGGAACUGAAACAUCUAAGUACCCCGAGGAAAAGAAAUCAACCGAGAUUCCCCCAGUAGCGGCGAGCGAACGGGGAGGAGCCCAGAGCCUGAAUCAGUGUGUGUGUUAGUGGAAGCGUCUGGAAAGGCGCGCGAUACAGGGUGACAGCCCCGUACACAAAAAUGCACAUAUUGUGAGCUCGAUGAGUAGGGCGGGACACGUGGUAUCCUGUCUGAAUAUGGGGGGACCAUCCUCCAAGGCUAAAUACUCCUGACUGACCGAUAGUGAACCAGUACCGUGAGGGAAAGGCGAAAAGAACCCCGGCGAGGGGAGUGAAAAAGAACCUGAAACCGUGUACGUACAAGCAGUGGGAGCCUCUUAAUGGGGUGACUGCGUACCUUUUGUAUAAUGGGUCAGCGACUUAUAUUCUGUAGCAAGGUUAACCGAAUAGGGGAGCCGAAGGGAAACCGAGUCUUAACUGGGCGUUAAGUUGCAGGGUAUAGACCCGAAACCCGGUGAUCUAGCCAUGGGCAGGUUGAAGGUUGGGUAACACUAACUGGAGGACCGAACCGACUAAUGUUGAAAAAUUAGCGGAUGACUUGUGGCUGGGGGUGAAAGGCCAAUCAAACCGGGAGAUAGCUGGUUCUCCCCGAAAGCUAUUUAGGUAGCGCCUCGUGAAUUCAUCUCCGGGGGUAGAGCACUGUUUCGGCAAGGGGGUCAUCCCGACUUACCAACCCGAUGCAAACUGCGAAUACCGGAGAAUGUUAUCACGGGAGACACACGGCGGGUGCUAACGUCCGUCGUGAAGAGGGAAACAACCCAGACCGCCAGCUAAGGUCCCAAAGUCAUGGUUAAGUGGGAAACGAUGUGGGAAGGCCCAGACAGCCAGGAUGUUGGCUUAGAAGCAGCCAUCAUUUAAAGAAAGCGUAAUAGCUCACUGGUCGAGUCGGCCUGCGCGGAAGAUGUAACGGGGCUAAACCAUGCACCGAAGCUGCGGCAGCGACGCUUAUGCGUUGUUGGGUAGGGGAGCGUUCUGUAAGCCUGUGAAGGUGUGCUGUGAGGCAUGCUGGAGGUAUCAGAAGUGCGAAUGCUGACAUAAGUAACGAUAAAGCGGGUGAAAAGCCCGCUCGCCGGAAGACCAAGGGUUCCUGUCCAACGUUAAUCGGGGCAGGGUGAGUCGACCCCUAAGGCGAGGCCGAAAGGCGUAGUCGAUGGGAAACAGGUUAAUAUUCCUGUACUUGGUGUUACUGCGAAGGGGGGACGGAGAAGGCUAUGUUGGCCGGGCGACGGUUGUCCCGGUUUAAGCGGGUAGGCUGGUUUUCCAGGCAAAUCCGGAAAACCAAGGCUGAGGCGUGAUGACGAGGCACUACGGUGCUGAAGCAACAAAUGCCCUGCUUCCAGGAAAAGCCUCUAAGCAUCAGGUAACAUCAAAUCGUACCCCAAACCGACACAGGUGGUCAGGUAGAGAAUACCAAGGCGCUUGAGAGAACUCGGGUGAAGGAACUAGGCAAAAUGGUGCCGUAACUUCGGGAGAAGGCACGCUGAUAUGUAGGUGAAGCGACUUGCUCGUGGAGCUGAAAUCAGUCGAAGAUACCAGCUGGCUGCAACUGUUUAUUAAAAACACAGCACUGUGCAAACACGAAAGUGGACGUAUACGGUGUGACGCCUGCCCGGUGCCGGAAGGUUAAUUGAUGGGGUUAGCGGUAACGCGAAGCUCUUGAUCGAAGCCCCGGUAAACGGCGGCCGUAACUAUAACGGUCCUAAGGUAGCGAAAUUCCUUGUCGGGUAAGUUCCGACCUGCACGAAUGGCGUAAUGAUGGCCAGGCUGUCUCCACCCGAGACUCAGUGAAAUUGAACUCGCUGUGAAGAUGCAGUGUACCCGCGGCAAGACGGAAAGACCCCGUGAACCUUUACUAUAGCUUGACACUGAACAUUGAGCCUUGAUGUGUAGGAUAGGUGGGAGGCUUUGAAGUGUGGACGCCAGUCUGCAUGGAGCCGACCUUGAAAUACCACCCUUUAAUGUUUGAUGUUCUAACGUUGGCCCGUAAUCCGGGUUGCGGACAGUGUCUGGUGGGUAGUUUGACUGGGGCGGUCUCCUCCUAAAGAGUAACGGAGGAGCACGAAGGUUGGCUAAUCCUGGUCGGACAUCAGGAGGUUAGUGCAAUGGCAUAAGCCAGCUUGACUGCGAGCGUGACGGCGCGAGCAGGUGCGAAAGCAGGUCAUAGUGAUCCGGUGGUUCUGAAUGGAAGGGCCAUCGCUCAACGGAUAAAAGGUACUCCGGGGAUAACAGGCUGAUACCGCCCAAGAGUUCAUAUCGACGGCGGUGUUUGGCACCUCGAUGUCGGCUCAUCACAUCCUGGGGCUGAAGUAGGUCCCAAGGGUAUGGCUGUUCGCCAUUUAAAGUGGUACGCGAGCUGGGUUUAGAACGUCGUGAGACAGUUCGGUCCCUAUCUGCCGUGGGCGCUGGAGAACUGAGGGGGGCUGCUCCUAGUACGAGAGGACCGGAGUGGACGCAUCACUGGUGUUCGGGUUGUCAUGCCAAUGGCACUGCCCGGUAGCUAAAUGCGGAAGAGAUAAGUGCUGAAAGCAUCUAAGCACGAAACUUGCCCCGAGAUGAGUUCUCCCUGAGACUUAGAGUCUCCUGAAGGAACGUUGAAGACGACGACGUUGAUAGGCCGGGUGUGUAAGCGCAGCGAUGCGUUGAGCUAACCGGUACUAAUGAACCGUGAGGCUUAACCUU